rnacentral:rRNA from 1 species
UUGAUCCUGGCUCAGAACGAACGCUGGCGGCAGGCUUAACACAUGCAAGUCGAGCGCCCCGCAAGGGGAGCGGCAGACGGGUGAGUAACGCGUGGGAACAUACCCUUUCCUGCGGAAUAUCUCCGGGAAACUGGAAUUAAUACCGCAUACGCCCUACGGGGGAAAGAUUUAUCGGGGAAGGAUUGGCCCGCUUUGGAUUAGCUAGUUGGUGGGGUAAAGGCCUACCAAGGCGACGAUCCAUAGCUGGUCUGAGAGGA